UACUAGCAACAAAACAAACUAAAUAGAUUUAAUCCAUUAAUAUGAUAUUGCCAGAUGGAAUAAAAUAACAAGGUAGGCCUAAACUGUAAUAAGAUAUAUCUUAUAGACUGCUUCAGUGCAUUUGGAAAGUAUUCAGACCCCUUGACUUUUUACACAUUUCAUUUUUUACAUUACAGCCUUAUUCUAAAAUGGAUUACAUACAACAUUUUCCUCAUCAAUCUACACACAAUAUCCUAUAAUGACAAAGCAAAAACUGUUUUUUAGACAUUUUUGCUAUUUAAAAUGGAAAAAAACAGAAAUACCUUAUUUACAUAAGUAUUCAAACCCUUUGCUAUGAGACUCGAAAUUGAGCACCGGUGCAUCCUGUUUCCCUUGAUCAUCCUUGAGGUAUUUCUACAACAUGAUUGGAGUCCACCUGUGGUAAAUUCAAUUGAUUGGACAUGAUUUGGAAAGGCACACACCUAAAGUCCCACAGUUGACAGUGCAAAAAUCUAUUUUAAUUCCAGGUUAUAAGGCAACAAAAUAGGGAAAAUGCCAAGGGGGGUGAAUACUUUCGCAAGCCACUGUAAAUGGUUCAGUUCACAUAAACAGUCAUUAUUUUCAGUUUGAGAGAUCAUCCCGGGCUUUGCCCCGUCUGCUGUAGCUGAGAUGUCCCUGGAGGACAUAGAACAACAAGACUAUGAUGUUUCUGACACUGAGAGAGUCAGGUAAGGCCACUUACACUCUGUCCAGUUAGAUAUUUGUGUGGAGAUUAAGAGAGACAGACUAAUAAGAAAGAACUUGUUAUGGGCAGGUCAGGCGUCAUUCAUUGAGUCAUUUGUAGGGUCAAGUCUUUGACAUGAAGACAGUGGUUAGAUUCUGCCAUUGGGACUGCUCUGAUGUUUCCAUUCUCUCCUGGUUAUGACCAUAGAGCCUUGUCCCAGUCUCUAGACCUGCCUGUCUGUGUGAUGGAUGACCACCUGACCUCUGAAGCUGUCAAUGAGAUGAAGCAAAGCAGCACUGUGGAAACCACAGAAGAAGAGAGCCUCAACAGUGCGAAAAAUCUUGAGUCUUUUUCACUGAUUAUCAACUUCCUGCAGAACCUAACUGAGGAGUAUGUUCUAUUUUCUUUGGUACAGUACUACUAUCAAACCUGUAAAGGAUUGUAUGAAAGCAGAUUCAUCAACUACAUUUCCAUUGCAGAAAAAGUUACAUCACACCACAAUGUUGUCAAAACAAUUGCUACAAAGCAUGUGUAAAAUACUGUUUAAUCUGAUGACUCUACUGACCGACAUUUCUGACAAUAUUAAUACUAUUAAUAUGAAUAAUUCAUAUGAAUCAUUUUCAGGCAAUGGAGUAGGAUUCGUAAUGGCAUUUCUGACCCGGUAAGAUCUGAAAGCUUAUUUAGAAUACAAUGAUCACUGAAUGUUUAGCCUUGUUCAUAAGCUUUUGAAAGACGCACUAUGCAACAUUUUAAAACACUUCUUCUGUUUCUGGAAUACAGCUGACAAAACAACAGCUUGUCGGCUUGUGUCUGAGGAUUGUCC
rnacentral:lncRNA from 13 species